UGAACGUCUCUCUGCCAUGUUCGACGGGGUUACGAACAGGUUUUGGAGAUCAGGCUGGGGUAGAACAUGUAUAGGCAGAACAUGAACAAGCAGAACAUGUACAAUCAGAACAAGUACAUGUAGAACAUGUAUAGGCAGAACAUGUACAAGCAGAACAAGUACAGGCAGAACAAGUACAAGUAGAAUAUGUACAGGCAGAACAUGUACAAGCAGAACAAGUACAAGUAGAACAUGUACAAGCAGAACAAGCACAGGCAGAACAUGUACAGGCAGAACAUGUACAAGCAGAACAAGUACAUGCACAACAUGUACAUGUAGAACAUGUACAGGCAGAACAUGUAUGAGCAGAACAAGUACAUGUAGAACAUAUACAGGCAGAACAUGUACAGGCAGAACAUGACCCAUGCUACAAACUGUUUCUCAGUUUUGUUCCACGUUACAAAUUGUAGGAUAAAACACCAGCAGCACAGUGUGCAGCAGCUGAGAAUAGGACUUCAGU
ensembl:lncRNA